UAGGGGGCAAGCGUUAUCCGGAUUUACUGGGUGUAAAGGGAGCGUAGACGGCGUGCCAAGUCUGGAGUGAAAGCCCGGGGCUUAACCCCGGGACUGCUUUGGAAACUGGCGUGCUAGAGUGCUGGAGAGGUAAGUGGAAUUCCUAGUGUAGCGGUGAAAUGCGUAGAUAUUAGGAGGAACACCAGUGGCGAAGGCGGCUUACUGGACAGUAACUGACGUUGAGGCUCGAAAGCGUGGGGAGCAAA
rnacentral:rRNA from 1 species